rnacentral:rRNA from 1 species
AACGAACGCUGGCGGCAUGCCUAACACAUGCAAGUCGAACGAGAACUUCGGGUCUAGUGGCGCACGGGUGCGUAACGCGUGGGAACCUGCCCUUAGGUUCGGAAUAACUCCCCGAAAGGGGUGCUAAUACCGGAUAAUGUCUUCGGACCAAAGAUUUAUCGCCUUUGGAUGGGCCCGCGUUGGAUUAGCUAGUUGGUAGGGUAAAAGCCUACCAAGGCGACGAUCCAUAGCUGGUCUGAGAGGAUGAUCAGCCACACUGGGACUGAGACACGGCCCAGACUCCUACGGGAGGCAGCAGUGGGGAAUAUUGUACGAGGAGCGAAAGCCUGGUACAGCAGUGCCGCGGGAGUGAUGAAGGCCUUAGGGUUGUAAAGCUCUUUGACCCGAGAUGAGAGUGACAGUACCGGGAGAAUAAGCUCCGGCUAACUCCGUG